ensembl:lncRNA
CGGUCAGGUAUGUUUAGUGAUGUUGGCUGAGUGUUACUAGUGUGCUGUUUCAUGUUAGUAUUCUUGUUUAGAGCACAGAGUUGGAUAAACCUUGCAGCUGGUGCUUGGUUGACGUGGUCUCUCUCAACCGUCUAAAGCAAGCGGGAGGGAGACUGUAAUAGCCCAGACGUUCUGCCUUAUGCUACAUAGUAGUUUUGCCCCAUUGUGUGCUGUAUUGCCGACCGAGUGAGCCCACGGGUGCACAGAAUGUUGCAUACCUGAUCGGUCGGGCUUUGAAAGAGCACAAGGAUACGAUUGUUAUCACGAAUUGGCAGUGCCUUGUCCCCCUUGUGCACGUAUUUAAUCCAGAUCGACAGAAUGAGCUCACAGCUUUCGGCUUGCCUGUGCAUUUAACAAGUAUUACGUUCUGGACAUUUGACUCAGGCGGUAUGUUUUUAAAGCUAUAAUACAUUGAUUCAUUUGCUAUUUGAUUUGUUUAUAAUUUAAUUUCAUUACAGGUAGACUUGUUGCAUCUGUGGGCGAUUUUAACUUCUUACUGUGGGGGCUUCGUGGGAAGUAUCGUCCAGAGGCGCUGUUGCUUUGCCGGUCCUCUAAUAUUAUUGUUGCGUUCUCUUGUGUUUUGUUCUUUUGUUAUUUGAGAAAUGUUUGUAAAAUGGUUGUUUAUUUUCUUUGUUCUGUUUAAUGUUUUCUUUUGAUUGAUUUAUUGUUUGGUAUUUUCUUUGACACUCUUUAUUGUAUUUCGAGUUAUUUUGUGUAUACAAGAGUGUUUACGUUCCUCCUGUUUUUGCUUUUGUGGUUUUAUGUGAUAGCUAAGAGCUUAAGGUGCCCCAAUAUUUAUUUGCUGUACGCAUCGUUUGCGAUUUAUAUCAGUGAUUUGUCUACCCUCAAGUGUAACAUACCAUCUUGUUGUUACAGGAGCUGAGUGCCGAAGGCGGGGUGGAUUUUGGUGGUGGUGCUACUUCACGAGUGCAGUGUGGAGUGUGUGUGUGUGUGUAUG